rnacentral:rRNA from 1 species
UACGUAGGGGGCAAGCGUUGUCCGGAAUUACUGGGCGUAAAGCGCGUGUAGGCGGGACGGUUAGUCGGACGUGAAAGGCUGGGGCUCAACCCCAGAUCGCCGUUCGAAACUGCCGUUCUUGAGGGUCGAAGAGGAGAGUGGAAUUCCUGGUGUAGCGGUGAAAUGCGUAGAGAUCAGGAGGAACACCGGUGGCGAAGGCGGCGACCUGGGUAGAUACUGACGCUGAGGAGCGAAAGCGUGGGGAGCGAACAGG